CUGUGUCUGAAGGGGGAGAGACAUUUGCAGAGAGUGAGACAUUGGACCAGCUGCCUCUAACAAACCCGGAGCAUUUCGGAACUCCGGUCAUCAACAAGAAGUCCAACCGUGGUGGACGUCGUUCUUCCCAGGCUGCAUGAAGGAGAUGACGCGGUAGAGAACUUAACAAGGGGG